rnacentral:lncRNA from 1 species
UCUAAAUGGAUUCCCACUACCUGUGGAGGAAAAAGCUACUCACCCAGUCAAGCUCUUUCUGAUUGGAUUCACCUCCUUGCUCCCUGUGCUGCUCAUCCUCUUGUCCACCUGUCAUCCCACUGCUCAUGGGUUGACCACUCCCCCUUCUGACUUUUACUACUACUGUGCAUUCUCCUUAGAUCAUUUCUUGGCUCUUGACCA